rnacentral:misc_RNA from 1 species
CAAGAAGAACCACCAUCUGUUUCCACUUUUUUUCCCCAUGAAGAUAAAGAUCCUGACUCCUCUCCCUUCCCAGAUUGGUGACUCUCAAUCUUUUUACCCCAAGACCCACCAUCUUUUUCCACCUUUUUCCCCCAUGAGGACAAAGAUCCUGACUGCUCUUCUUUCCCAGAUAGUUGAGGGGUAUUCUCAGUUUCAAUCUUUUUCCCCCAAGAACCACCAUCUUUAUCCACCUUUUUCCCCCAUGAACUAGAGUCUUUAUCCACCUUUUUCCCCCAAGAAGAACCAC